rnacentral:rRNA from 1 species
UACAGAGGUCCCAAGCGUUGUUCGGAUUCAUUGGGCGUAAAGGGUGUGUAGGUGGCGCCGUAAGUCGGGUGUGAAAUUUCGGAGCUUAACUCCGAAACUGCAUUCGAUACUGCCGUGCUUGAGGACUGGAGAGGAGACUGGAAUUUACGGUGUAGCGGUGAAAUUCGUAGAUAUUCGGCGGAACACCAGUGGCGAAGGCGACUCACUGGCCCGAUACUGACGCUGAGGCGCGAAAGCGUGGGGAGCAAACAGG